rnacentral:lncRNA from 7 species
GCAACAGAUGCACUUGUUGCAAGGACAGAUUUUUCUCUUGACUAGGAUUUGGUGUCUUUUUGGUGUUUGGUCAGGGUAAGCCUCUCUGAGAUGUGAAGGACCCAUUCAUACGUGUAACUUUUUUCAUAUGUCUAAACUUUUCAGGUUCCUAGUGUGGUUAUUCCUGUGUGCUGUUAGUGGUGAACAGUGCAGAGUUCGUUGAUUUUAUCCACGCAUUGUACUUUUUCAGGACAGCAGUGCAGUUUAGGAGAAUUUAAGGAGUACAGCAGUGUCUAACUGGUUGACUUACGAGAGGAAAAAGUGCUGUGAAAUACAGUGCAUAGAUAAUCAAAAGCACUCAGUGAUGUAUUAUUAAAUGCAUUGAGCAGUUAUGAUACAACCUCUGAACAGCUCUGAAAGGGAGCUUGGGAUUACUCCUAGUUAACAAGACGUAGUGUAGAAGGUUCACUGAUAAGAUGCAAACCAGAAUCUGCCUGUUGGUUAUCUUUCCAGACAUGUUUCAGAGCUAAUAAGGGAGACUGACGAGUACCAUGACUUCAAACAGAAGCAUUUUGAGAAAUGACCUAGGGGGAGCCAAGUUACAAGUUGAACUCUAACCAAGUUAGAAGAGGAAAUAAGUGAAGAUUGGUCAUGUAUGCAAAGAAAAUGACAAGGUUUUGUCUCCCGUGGAUGCUGGCUUCACCCCAUUUUUCCCAUUGGGAUCUGCCAAACUUCAUUUCUGCCCUUGAGAGCUAGGAAGCACAGCCCAGGGUGAGAUGCUGCUGCUGCUCCCACAGCUGUCCAUGUCACGCCCGGCAGCCAUCUUAGGCUGGACAGAAAGCCCACCAGGGCCAGCACAGCACAUCAGCUGAUUAGGGGUGCCCCCUGGGCUGAGGUGUGAUGGGAUAACAACAACGGAAAGAGAAAUCUGGUGCUGUGAAUGGCCCUCUGAGAAAAUGUACGGAGAAGCUUGUGUCUGCUUUUUCACUUGCUGUCACUCACCUUACAACUGUUUCAGUGUGCACUAAAAUGAAGUUGAAACAUGCGUGUUUUCUUUUUUGGCAUCCCCAUAGUGAUUAUGCUAUGAGCAGUGGAAGAUCCCAUCGGUUGCUCUGAAACGUGACCUACCUACUUUGAGGUAUGGACUGAUAUCAUAGUUUUUGUCACUUAUUUGGAUUUUUCCUGAGUGCGAUGUGUUGCAGUCCAUCAGACCAGGUGGUGGGGAGUGAGAGCACCCUCAACCUCUAGUGUUGGUGUGAGGUUACAGUACACUAGUGGCAAUUUUGCUAGUCAUAUUAACCAACGUCUGUGUAGUACAGUAGAGUACAUUUAGUUUAGCCAUUGAUUCAGUUGUGAGGUACUGUCCUUUAGAAGUAGCAUGUUGCUUAAGUAAGCCGUAACACUUUCUGACAGUCACCAAAUUCUUGGUUCAGUCUUAUAGAUUUACCCAUGCAGAACUUGGGAAAGUCAGUAAGAGCAACUGAGCUGUUCCACACUAGGAUAAGAGAGGAAUACCUAGAAGGCAAUGCAGAACAAAUCCCUCUAAUUCAGCAUUUAUUCUCUAAGUCACUGUGAUGCCUUUCUUGAAGUGACAAAACUGGUUUGUUAAGAUGCAGUCGUGUCAGAGCUGGAAGUACAAAAGUGCAUUUAUUAAAAAUGAAUUCUGUAUCCUC